AGCAGCCUAUUUUCAACAUCCUUUAGGUCUGAUUAGAACUGCUCCUCUCAAGAUGAACUGUAACAGUGACGGCAGUGGAGGUACCAACGUGGGAGGGACCAGUGGAGGGGGUGAUGGCAACAAUGGUAAUGGAGAGGACGAAGAUAGCGAGGAAGAGGAGGGCAACAAUGGAAAUUGCCAGGACCAGAAUAACUUCUGUGCUGACUGGGCCAGACGGGGAUACUGUACCGGGAGCUAUGCCACUUACAUGAGAACCAACUGUCGUCAGAGCUGUGAGCUGUGCACAACUGGGACUGGGACAUCUGAGGAGGAUGGGGAGGAGGAGGAGGAAGGAGAGGAGGAGGAGGAGGAAGGUUCUAACUGUGAGGACGGCAACACUUAACUGUGCAAGCUGGGCCCGGCGGGGAAAGUGUCGCAGUAACCCCACUGGAUGAGGGAAAAUGCAAGAGGAACUGCGAAUGUGUGUGGGACCACAGGGUCAGGGUGCGCAGACAACCAUCGUCACUGCCGGUACUGGUCUCAGAACGGCUACUGCACCUCCAGGGCUGUCUACAUGAAUGCCAACUGUCCCAAGAGCUGUGAGAGGUGUGAUGCACCAUGAAGCUUCAGGUGUGAUGCACCAUGCCUAAAGUGAAUCUGGUGUGUCACGCCGAAGAGCCAUUAUACUGGCUAUAUUAGAUACAGAAGCUGGUGUGCUACAGCAAAGGGCAGUUUUACUGCAAGAUAGAUAUAGAUACACAUACAGAAGAAGUGUGUCUACAAGAUUGUCAUAGUGCUUCUUGUAUUAAUGAAAUUUAUACAAAUUUCAUAGAAUUUUAUGCAAAACCGCACAAAGCACUAUGCAAAAACGAAUCUAGUGAAAGCACACAAAGCACAAAACAAUGAUAUACAAAUCUUAUGAAACAUAAAUGCUUUUUGUGUAUUGAGCAAUUGUAUGUUACAUAAAAUUUGUAGGAAUGUUAAGGUACCCUUGUCCAAGCCGCUAGUACUCUAUUUUUGAAGACUGCAAUGUGAAGAACUGCUUUAAAUUAUAGUCAUCCUUGUCUUUUCUAUUAAGAUUGCUUUGAGUUUUAACUUUGCAUGUUACAUAGAAAGCAAGCUGAUGUGUGGUAAAUAUGGUUGACUCUUUAAGUACACUUAUACUACAAUUAUAAGUGUUUGAUAAUAAGCUAACUAGCUUUGCCAGUGGCGUAUAAUGUUUUACAACAUGAUUACCAAGAAAGGUGUGAAAUUGUGUCAUUUUGAUUUUUGUCACUUAAAUGUCAACAUUGUCUCUCUAAAGACAAAAUAUAAUGUUACAUGAUGAGCUUGAUGUGAGGUCAUUUUGAAUACCUGCUUAAGACGAAAGGCAUUUUAUGUAUUUUUGCGCAUAUACAUGCACAGUGUAUGUAUUGGUUUUAUUUCAAUUCAUUUAAUCUCGGCACCAAUAUUGUAGGUCCUAAGGACCUUCUUGGUAACACUACAAUCUUUCUGUAGAAGCUGACUUCCUUUGGAAACAAAUCAUUUCACAUUGUUCCUUUGUCAUACAGUUUUAGGUCACAACAUUUACACUUAACAUGUAUGUUGCCAUUUGGUACAUCUAGGUGUACAGUAUAGUGUGUGUGUUGUAUCUAUUGUAGCACUUCAUGUUUCUUGAUUAAAUGUACAAUAUACCUAAGAAAUCUUCAAUGUCCUGGAAAACGUCUUGCAAACAAUAAAAUCCGUGGAAUAUCAAA